rnacentral:rRNA from 1 species
AACCUGGGGAAACCCAGGCUAAUACYGCAUACGUCCUACGGGAGAAAGGGGGCUCCGGCUCCCGCUAUGGGAUGAGCCUAUGUCGGAUUAGCUAGUUGGUGAGGUAACGGCUCACCAAGGCCACGAUCCGUAGCUGGUCUGAGAGGAUGAUCAGCCACAUCGGGACUGAGACACGGCCCGAACUCCUACGGGAGGCAGCAGUGGGGAAUAUUGGACAAUGGGCGAAAGCCUGAUCCAGCCAUGCCGCGUGUGUGAAGAAGGCCCUCGGGUUGUAAAGCACUUUCAGCGAGGAAGAACGCCUAGCGGUUAAUACCCGCUAGGAAAGACAUCACUCGCAGAAGAAGCACCGGCUAACUCCGUGCCAGCAGCCGCGGUAAUACGGAGGGUGCAAGCGUUAAUCGGAAUUACUGGGCGUAAAGCGCGCGUAGGUGGCUUGAUAAGCCGGUUGUGAAAGCCCCGGGCUCAACCUGGGAACGGCAUCCGGAACUGUCAAGCUAGAGUGCAGGAGAGGAAGGUAGAAUUCCCGGUGUAGCGGUGAAAUGCGUAGAGAUCGGGAGGAGUACCAGUGGCGAAGGCGGCCUUCUGGACUGACACUGACACUGAGGUGCGAAAGCGUGGGUAGCAAACAGGAUUAGAUACCCUGGUAGUCCACGCCGUAAACGAUGUCGACCAGCCGUUGGGUGCCUAGCGCACUUUGUGGCGAAGUUAACGCGAUAAGUCGACCGCCUGGGGAGUACGGCCGCAAGGUUAAAACUCAAAUGAAUUGACGGGGGCCCGCACAAGCGGUGGAGCAUGUGGUUUAAUUCGAUGCAACGCGAAGAACCUUACCUACUCCUGACAUCCUGCGAAUUCGGUAGAGAUACCUUAGUGCCUUCGGGAACGCAGAGACAGGUGCUGCAUGGCUGUCGUCAGCUCGUGUUGUGAAAUGUUGGGUUAAGUCCCGUAACGAGCGCAACCCUUGUCCUUAUUUGCCAGCGCGUAAUGGCGGGAACUCUAAGGAGACUGCCGGUGACAAACCGGAGGAAGGUGGGGACGACGUCAAGUCAUCAUGGCCCUUACGAGUAGGGCUACACACGUGCUACAAUGGUCGGUACAAAGGGUUGCCAACUCGCGAGAGUGAGCCAAUCCCGAAAAGCCGAUCUCAGUCCGGAUCGGAGUCUGCAACUCGACUCCGUGAAGUCGGAAUCGCUAGUAAUCGUGGAUCAGAAUGCCACGGUGAAUACGUUCCCG